CGUAGGGGGCAAGCGUUAUCCGGAUUUACUGGGUGUAAAGGGAGCGUAGACGGCGAUGCAAGCCAGAUGUGAAAGCCCGCGGCUCAACUGCGGUAGUGCAUUUGGAACUGUAUGGCUGGAGUGCAGGAGAGGCAGGCGGAAUUCCUAGUGUAGCGGUGAAAUGCGUAGAUAUUAGGAGGAACACCAGUGGCGAAGGCGGCCUGCUGGACUGUAACUGACGUUGAGGCUCGAAAGCGUGGGGAGCAAA
rnacentral:rRNA from 1 species